UUUUUGUUAUCUAUAAAUUUCAUGCCUAACAUUCAACAAGGCCAUAAAUCAAAAUUAAUUUUCACAUAACAACCCAAACUUGUUACAAUCACGACAAUGUUCAGAUACCAAAAAUACAUAUUUACAUAGAUAGCUCAACAAGUAUUUACAACCAUUAUUACUACAUCAGUUUGCAUUUCUUGGAACUGAUCUAAAAAAGGAGCCUCUAAACAAAAUUACUACAUAACUUUGACUUUCUUGAAACCGAUCUCAAAAAGUAGCCUCUGAUUUCUCUAUGUAUUUCUCUGUGUAUUCGUUUUGAAAAAGCAGCCUCUAAUUUCUUGGAACCUGCACUAAACAAAGGCAUAAAAAACAAGUUAACAAGCAUGUGGACAAAUCUGGAUAAGUGAAAAGAAUUAUCAGCUUGGCAAAUAUGGAUGAUAGGCACAAGUGUAGAUACAAACUAUGGGUGAACUAUUUUAAGAUGACUAAGCUUCAGGCACUACAGAUAUCUAAACCUAGACCAGUUUCUUAUAUGUAAAAGAGAGUAAAGUGCGGAAAAAGUUUUCUUUUUACAACUUGUCCAGAUGUAGUCCUUUAUUGUAGAUUCAGGAAAGAAAAAAUCAUUGGGAUAGUAGAUCUAGUAAUAACUUCCUGGCAAAAAAAUUACAAGCAUAAACUGCUACACUUUCUUUUAUUUAAGUUGGCAAUAAAAGAUCAAAAGUACAUGAGGAAAAACCAAUGCAACAAUUGAAGUUUCGAAUACUAAACACUAAAUAGCACUCUGCUCAUAAAAUGCUUCUGAAUAGUCUGAAGUGGAACCACAUGGACAAGCAAUAGAUAAACUUUACAUAUUUUGGAUCUGUAAUAGAUAUCAAGAAACUUACACAAGACCGGUGCCUGAAAUAUCAUUCCAGAUGAAUACAAGAGCUAUUCGAAGCUGGUUCCUGGAGUUCCUUCCGGACAACAACAUUAGCC
rnacentral:lncRNA from 1 species